CCCGCUUGACUGCGAGAAUGACAAUUCGAGCAGGUGCGAAAGCAGGUCAUAGUGAUCCGGUGGUUCUGAAUGGAAGGGCCAUCGCUCAACGGAUAAAAGGUACUCCGGGGAUAACAGGCUGAUACCGCCCAAGAGUUCAUAUCGACGGCGGUGUUUGGCACCUCGAUGUCGGCUCAUCACAUCCUGGGGCUGAAGUCGGUCCCAAGGGUAUGGCUGUUCGCCAUUUAAAGUGGUACGCGAGCUGGGUUUAGAACGUCGUGAGACAGUUCGGUCCCUAUCUGCCGUGGGCGUUGGAAAAUUGAAAGGGGCUGCUCCUAGUACGAGAGGACCGGAGUGGACGAACCUCUGGUGUUCGGGUUGUCAUGCCAAUGGCAUUGCCCGGUAGCUAAGUUCGGAAUCGAUAACCGCUGAAAGCAUCUAAGCGGGAAGCGAGCCUUGAGAUGAGUUUUCCCUGGCACUAUAAGUGUCCUAAAGGGUUGUCGUAGACUACGACGUUGAUAGGCAGGGUGUGUAAGUGCUGCGAGGCAUUGAGCUAACCUGUACUAAUUGCCCGUGAGGCUUAACCAUACAACACCC
rnacentral:rRNA from 1 species